rnacentral:rRNA from 1 species
UACGGGGGGGGGCAAGCGUUGUUCGGAAUUACUGGGCGUAAAGGGUUCGUAGGUGGCCAACUCAGUCAGACGUGAAAUCCCUCAGCUUAACUGGGGAACUGCGUCUGAUACUAGAUGGCUUGAGUGCAGGAGAGGAACGCGGAAUUCCAGGUGUAGCGGUGAAAUGCGUAGAUAUCUGGAGGAACACCGGUGGCGAAGGCGGCGUUCUGGACUGCAACUGACACUGAGGAACGAAAGCCAGGGGAGCAAACGGG